rnacentral:tRNA from 1 species
UGUCAAGGGAUGGGAAUCGAACCCACGACCUUCCGCUACGGGCAGAUGCCAUGACCACUAGGCUACCCUGGAC